rnacentral:rRNA from 1 species
GAUGAACGCUGGCGGUAUGCUUAACACAUGCAAGUCGAACGGACACUUCGGGGUUAGUGGCGGACGGGGUAGUAACGCGAGAGAAGCUGGCUUUGGGGUCGGGACAACUACUGGAAUGGGUGGCUAAUACCGGACGGGCCGAGAGGCAAGAGAGAAAUUGCCUGCAGAUGUGCUCGGGUCUGAUUAGAUAGUUGGUGAGGUGAAGGCUCACCUAGGCAGCGAUCAGUAGCUGGUCUGAGCUGACGACCGGCCACACUGGCACUGAGACACGGCCCAGACACCUCCGGCACGCAGCACGAGGGAAUGAUCCGGAAUGGGCGAAAGCGUGACGAAGGACUACCGCUUGAGAGAAGCAGUUUCUUGGGUUGUAAACCUCUGUACUUAGGGAAGCACAACAUGGCGGUACCUAAGGAAUCAGCAACGGCUAACUCCGUG